AAUUAGUGAACUUGAAUAAGUAUAUAUUUUGAAAAUAUAAGAUAGAGUAAAUACUCUACUAAUUU
rnacentral:tRNA from 1 species